rnacentral:rRNA from 1 species
AGUGAACGCUGGCGGUAGGCCUAACACAUGCCAGUCGAACGGCAGCACAGUAAGAGCUUGCUCUUACGGGUGGCGAGUGGCGGACGGGUGAGGAAUACAUCGGAAUCUACUUUUUCGUGGGGGAUAACGUAGGGAAACUUACGCUAAUACCGCAUACGACCUACGGGUGAAAGCAGGGGAUCUUCGGACCUUGCGCGAUUGAAUGAGCCGAUGUCGGAUUAGCUAGUUGGCGGGGUAAAGGCCCACCAAGGCGACGAUCCGUAGCUGGUCUGAGAGGAUGAUCAGACACACUGGAACUGAGACACGGUCCAGACUCCUACGGGAGGCAGCAGUGGGGAAUAUUGGACAAUGGGCGCAAGCCUGAUCCAGCCAUACCGCGUGGGUGAAGAAGGCCUUCGGGUUGUAAAGCCCUUUUGUUGGGAAAGAAAAGCAGCAGGUUAAUACCCCGCUGUUCCGACGGUACCCAAAGAAUAAGCACCGGCUAACUUCGUG